UACGAAGGGGGCAAGCGUUACUCGGAAUUACUGGGCGUAAAGCGUGCGCAGGCGGUUUUGUAAGUCUGUCGUGAAAUCCCCGGGCUCAACCUGGGAAUUGCGAUGGAGACUGCAAGGCUAGAAUCUGGCAGAGGGGGGUAGAAUUCCACGUGUAGCAGUGAAAUGCGUAGAGAUGUGGAGGAACACCGAUGGCGAAGGCAGCCCCCUGGGUCAAGAUUGACGCUCAUGCACGAAAGCGUGGGGAGCAAACAGG
rnacentral:rRNA from 1 species